rnacentral:rRNA from 1 species
GUCUUUUUGUUAUGAUAAAAAGUCUGACCUGCCCACUGAUGACUUGAAUGGCUGCAGUAAUUUGACUGUACAAAGGUAGCAUAAUCAUUAGUUUUUUAAUUGAAAGCUGGAAUGAAGGGUUGGAUGAAAAAAUUACUGUCUCAGAUUAAUUUUUUGAAUUUUAUUUUUGAGUAAAAAAGCUUAAAUGUUGAUUAAAGACGAGAAGACCCUAUAGAAUUUUAUAUUUAUGUUUUAUUGUUGUUUUUAGUAUUUAUUGGUCAAUAGGAUAUUUUAUUUAAUUGGGGUGAUUGUAAAAUUUAUGUAACUUUUAUUAAUUUUUUUACAUUAAUUCGUGGUUGAUUGAUCCAUUUUUAAUGAUUAUAAGAUUAAAUUACCUUAGGGAUAACAGCGUAAUUUUUUUUGAGAGUUCUUAUCGAUAAAAAAGUUUGCGACCUCGAUGUUGGAUUAAAAUUUUUUUGGGUGUAGAAGCUUAAAUAUUGGGUCUGUUCGACCUUUAAAAUUUUACA